UACGUAGGCAGCAAGCGUUGUUCGGAGUUACUGGGCGUAAAGGGUGCGUAGGCGGCUUUUUAAGUUUGGUGUGAAAUCUCCCGGCUCAACUGGGAGGGUGCGCCGAAUACUGAGAGGCUAGAGUGCGGGAGAGGAAAGUGGAAUUCCUGGUGUAGCGGUGAAAUGCGUAGAUAUCAGGAGGAACACCAAUAGCGAAGGCGGCUCACUGGACCGGUACUGACGCUGAGGCGCGAAAGCGUGGGGAGCAAACGGG
rnacentral:rRNA from 1 species